GUUGAGAAUGCCACAUUAUUUCCUUGUUGUCAAAUUCUCACAAUUCUUCCUUAAAGAUAUAAAGAACUCAUACCCAAUUUCCUCCUUCUUCAUUCACUACUAUAUCUCUCAAUUCCCUUCAACAGAAUAAAAGAAACCCCAAACCCCAAUUCAUUUUCUCUCUCCUCUGAUUUUAUACCCCGUACUGUGCAUGCUCAAUUUCUGCAUUUUAUAGUCGGAAUUUGCCCAAACUUAUUGAAUCAAAGUUGUAGAUCUCGAAAAGUUAUUGAACUUAGACCCAAAAAUCACUUGAUUUGGAGUUCGGAGCUAUGAGUUAUGGUCUUUGCAAAUUUGGUGUUGCUACCUUCAAUUCUCUCACCUUUGUUUUCACUCCGACAAUCUGUUGCCCCAAUUAUCUACAACAUGCAAUCCAAUUUUGCUCUUUGUUGCUGAAUCAAAGUUGUAGAUCACUUCAAGCUAAUGAAUUUGGGCACAAAAAUCACUUGAUUUGGAGUUCAGAGCUAUGAGUUAUGGUCUUUUUGUAGAUCACUUCGAGCUAAUGAAUUUGAGCACAAAAAUCGCUCAAUUUGGAGUUCGGAGCUAUGAGUUACGCCUCACACAAGUUCAGCACUGCUGCUGUACCUUGUGUUGCGCUGCUGUCGGGGUUGGCUUGUUUGCCCAUGUUAUCAUUGCUAACUUGUUGCCUUGUUGCUGCCAUUGUUGGUAUUCCUUUCCAUAUGAAGGUAUAAGAUAAAUUUUUCUUAAUUCCUCAUCUCCUUCGAUUCCAAUUCAAGUGUGGUGCAAUUGGAUUUUAUUUAUGAUUUUAGAAAUAAACUUGGUUCUAAAUUUUGUUAUUGAUUAGCAAAUAUAGUUAUGAUAAGAGUUGUUAAACUUAAAGAUUGAAUACUUUAUCUUUCUUAUUGGAUUGAAGCUUCUAAUAUGAAGUAAGCCACUUAAGUAAGUUUAUAAAAACUGAUUUUUAUAAAUUAUGUUGUUUGAUAAUACUCUUUGAAAUCAGAAUGAUGUUAAUUAGAGAUGGAAUUGAUGUUAUGAGUUGGAUUAGUAGAAUGGGUUAUAUAUAAGAGUUGUGGUGGUUAGUUCAUGGAAGAGCUUAGAAAGUAUGAGUAAUUCAAUUUAUUUAUCUAAUAGGUAGUAAGGAUGUUAAUUGUUGUUCUAUUGUUGUGAGGUGAUUGUUGGAGAUUGUAAAGAAUUUAGAGAUGUCGGAUCUUGAAGAAUUAUUAUGGAAUUGAGCAUUCCUUGGGGAAAAUGAAGGAGAGUUCUUUGUUAGUGAUCUUGCAGGUUCGUAUGUGGAAAGCUCGAAAUGGAGUAAAAGGAAGAAUUUAAGUAUCAAGGUUAUUAUGAGAUGUAAGGGUUCCGAGGUUGUAUUUGGGAUUAUUUAUCCUUAUUUAUGAAUAAAUUAUUAUAUUGCUUUAGAAGUCGAGCAAGAUAUUAUUGUAAUAUGUUAUUGGUUAUUGAGAAUGUGUUGUGGGCCCUGACCCACAGGUCCAGGAUCGUGUAUUGAAGGUUUUAUUCCGCUGCGAGUAAAUAAUUAAUUCGAGGCUAUUAAGUGUUAA